rnacentral:tRNA from 1 species
UAGGUGGUUAGUAUAAAUAGUACACUAGCCUGUCACGUUAGAAGUGCAUAAGAAAUUAAGCACCACCUAA